GAGUUUGAUCGUGGCUCAGGACGAACGCUGGCGGCGUGCCUAAUACAUGCAAGUCGAGCGAGGGUUUUUAAGACCCUAGCGGCGGACGGGUGAGUAACACGUAGGCAACCUGCCUUUCAGGACCGGGAUAACAUAGGGAAACUUAUGCUAAUACCGGAUAGGUUUUGGAUUGCAUGAUCCGAAAGAAAGAUGGCUUUUGGCUAUCACUGGGAGAUGGGCCUGCGGCGCAUUA
rnacentral:rRNA from 1 species